UACGAAGGGGGCUAGCGUUGCUCGGAAUUACUGGGCGUAAAGGGAGCGUAGGCGGAUAGUUUAGUCAGAGGUGAAAGCCCAGGGCUCAACCUUGGAAAUGCCUUUGAUACUGGCUAUCUUGAGUAUGGGAGAGGUAAGCGGAAUUCCGAGUGUAGAGGUGAAAUUCGUAGAUAUUCGGAAGAACACCAGUGGCGAAGGCGGCUUACUGGCCCAUUACUGACGCUGAGGCUCGAAAGCGUGGGGAGCAAACAGG
rnacentral:rRNA from 1 species